rnacentral:rRNA from 1 species
CAGCCGCCACGGUAAUACGGAGGGGGCUAGCGUUGUUCGGAAUUACUGGGCGUAAAGCGCACGUAGGCGGCUUGGUAAGUUAGAGGUGAAAGCCUGGAGCUCAACUCCAGAAUUGCCUUUAAGACUGCCGAGCUAGCAGGUGAGAGAGGUAAGUGGAAUUCCGAGUGUAGAGGUGAAAUUCGUAGAUAUUCGGAAGAACACCAGUGGCGAAGGCGGCUUACUGGCUCAUACUGGACGCUGAGGUGCGAAAGCGUGGGGAGCAAACAGGAUUAGAUACCCCGGUAGUCCCUGUCUCUUAUAA